rnacentral:rRNA from 1 species
UACGUAGGGUGCAAGCGUUGUCCGGAAUUAUUGGGCGUAAAGAGCUCGUAGGCGGUUUGUUGCGUCGGCUGUGAAAUCCCGAGGCUCAACCUCGGGUCUGCAGUCGAUACGAGCAAACUAGAGUGUUGCAGGGGAGACUGGAAUUCCUGGUGUAGCGGUGAAAUGCGCAGAUAUCAGGAGGAACACCGGUGGCGAAGGCGGGUCUCUGGGCAACAACUGACGCUGAGGAGCGAAAGCGUGGGGAGCGAUCCGG